UGGUAAUUAGUUUAACUAAAAUUAAUGAUUUCGACUCAUUAGAUUACGACAGUAUCGUAAUUACCAAA
rnacentral:tRNA from 1 species